CUCUCUCUCUCAAUUGUUGUCGUUCGCUUCCAAAUCCGUUUGCGAAGGCGACGAUCAUCGUUCUUCUUCUUCUCCUCUGCAAGAUAACUAUUCGAUCGUAGAAGUUGAUUAUGAUGCAACCAACUUGAGGAGAUGAUCAAGGUGGAUUAUCAAGUGGCAUCCUUGGUGAUACUGUGGCUACUUACGAAACUUCAAAGGAGACUAAUGAAGCUUAUAAUGGUGAAGUGGCAUCUCUUCUCUUAGCUUUAUUAUCGUAAGCUUGCUUGAACUGAAUGGGGAUCCUUGGUGAUAUGAUGGCUACUUACGAAACUUCAAGGAAACUAAUGAAGCUUAUAAUGGUACUGUGGCAUCUCUUCUCUUUGCUUUUAUGUUUUGUUUUAAAGUUUUCUGUUUUCUUAAAACCCAAAAGAAAGGGACUAUGUUUUGUUUUAAAGUUUUCUGUUUUCUUAAAACCCAAAAGAAAGGGACUACACAUUACAUGAUUGUGUUUGUCCGUUUCUAACUUGGGGAAAUUGUCCGUAAGGGAAAGGCUUUUCACAUACUAUCUAUGGUCCCAAUAAUUUUAGAGAUUUCAAUCUCUACUGUCUUGCUGUGCUGGGACAGGUUGACAGAAACUUCAAUAUCUCUGCUAAAAAACCUUUUUUAAGGCUUGGACAAUGUCCUGAGAAAGUUCAUUCUCUCUGCUAAUUUGAUGGAGGAUAGAAAGUUGUAGAAAGGGAAAACUCUGUCCGAUCAAAAACUCACUGAGCUAAGACAGCAAGUCAGAUGCUAACUUCAAUAUCUCUGCUAAAAGACCUUUUUAAGGCUUGAACAAUGUCCUGAGAAAGUUCAAUCUCUCUACUGAUUUGCUGGAGAAUAAAAAGUUAUAGAAAGGGAAAUCUUUGUCCGAUUAAAAGCUCAAUGAGCUAAGACAGCAAGUCAGAUACUAUGGUCCCAGAUUAAAAGCUCACUGAGCGAUUAAAAGCUCACUGAGCUAAGACAGCAAGUCAGAUACUAUGGUCCCAAAAAUAUUAGAGAUUUCAAUCUCUAUUGUCUUGCUUAACAGAAAAUUCAAUAUCUCUGCUAAGAGACUUUUAUUAAGGCAUGGAUAAUGUCCUGAGAAAGUUCAAUAUCUCUGCUAAUUUGAUGGAGGAUAAAAAGUUCUAUAAAGGGAAAUCUCUAAACGAUUUAAAGCUCACUGAGCUAAGACAGCAAGUCAGAUACUAUGGUCCCAAAAAUAUUAGAGAUUUCAAUCUCUACUGUCUUGCUUGACAGAAAAUUCAAUAUCUCUGCUAAAAGACCUUUAUUAAGGCAUGGACAAUGUCCUGAGAAAGUUCAAUAUCUCUGCUAAUUUGAUGGAGGAUAAAAAGUUCUAUAAAGGGAAAUCUCUAAACGAUUUAAAGCUCACUGAGCUAAGACAGCAAGUCAGAUACUAUGGUCCCAAAAAUAUUAGAGAUUUCAAUCUCUACUGUCUUGCUUGACAGAAAAUUCAAUAUCUCUGCUAAAAGACCUUUAUUAAGGCAUGGACAAUGUCCUGAGAAAGUUCAAUAUCUCUGCUAAUUUGAUGGAGGAUAAAAAGUUCUAUAAAGGGAAAUCUCUAAACGAUUUAAAGCUCACUGAGCUAAGACAGCAAGUCAGAUACUAUGGUCCCAAAAAUAUUAGAGAUUUCAAUCUCUACUGUCUUGCUUGACAGAAAAUUCAAUAUCUCUGCUAAAAGACCUUUAUUAAGGCAUGGACAAUGUCCUGAGAAAGUUCAAUAUCUCUGCUAAUUUGAUGGAGGAUAAAAAGUUCUAUAAAGGGAAAUCUCUAAACGAUUUAAAGCUCACUGAGCUAAGACAGCAAGUCAGAUACUAUGGUCCCAAAAAUACUAUUGUCUUGUUGUGCUGGGACAGCUUGACAGAAACUACACUAUCUCUGCUAAAAGACCUUUAUUAAGGCAUGGACAAUGUCCUGAGAAAA